UGCUGCUACGUUCUUCCUCAUCCCGUCCUGCGGCGUGCACCGUUCGUCGGGACAGUAGGCCUCCGAAACUCUGUCUCUUCGAGUCCUGUACGGGAGAAGGGCGAUAAGGUUUUUGGGGAGCGCUCAGCGCGACUACUGGCUUCCAUCACGGACUCCGACGAUCUCUUCCCGAACGACGACUUCUUCCCCGACGUCGACCACCUCUUCGGUACUAUGGCCAACACCAAUGCUCCUGCUGCUGCAACUCAGUACGUACUUCUGUGCUUCUUCUUUGAAUUCCUAUCACACCUUUUUGCUAUAGUUUCUCUGCUAGAUAUGUUCCGUUUCUACUCAUUACUCCAUAUGAUAUCUUAUCUUUGUAAAACGGUUUUACAUAUGCUCUUUUCUGGAUCCUACGUGCGCAUGUCUUGUGUCUUCUCAUCUCUAUAUAGCUUGCCUUCUUUCGUUGUUGUUAUAUUGUUUAUGUUUUUCCUAGUUUUUCUUGUAAUAAAAUCCUAUGGUAAAUUGCUCAUAUUUCCAACAAUCCAAAAACCUUAUUAUAGGCAAUUUACCCCGAGUGGUUUUGCUGACUCCAUGAGGCCUCCUAUGUUUGAGGGUGUUCACUACAAGAGGUGGCGCGUGAGAGCUGUUCUAUGGUUUCAAACCAUGAGCUGCUAUGACGCCACUCUUGGCAAACCUGAAGGAGAUCAUGAUGCUCAACAUGAGGUAGCUUUUCAGAAAAUGGAUACCUUGUUUAAGGCUGCUCUCUUGAGCGUUCUUGGUGAGAACAUAGUUGAUGCUUAUGCGUCAAUUGAUAAUGGAAAAGAUAUGUGGGAUGUUCUCGAGACCAAGUUUGGGGUCUCGGAUGCUGGCACUGAGUUGUACAUCAUGGAACAAUUCUAUGAUUACAGGAUGACUCAAGAGCGCUCCGUGGUUGAGCAAGCUCACGAAAUACAGUCAUUUGCAAGAGAACUUGAGCACUUCAAUUGCAUGCUACCGGACAAAUUUGUUGCCGGAGGCAUCAUAACUAAACUUCCUCCUUCAUGGAGGAACUUUGCUACCUUAAUGAAGCAUAAGAGACAGGAGUUUUCCGUUCCGGAUCUCAUAGGUACUCUUGAUGUGGAAGAAAAGGCGAGAGCAAAAGACACACGUGCUCGAGCUAUUGAGGGAGGUUCUAGUGCCAAUCUGGUACAGAAGAAAAACUUCCAGCCCCACAAUUUCAAGAACAAGGGCAAGUUCGAUGGUAAAGCAAAGUUUGAUGGAAAAAACAAGGCUGUGCAGCACACCAACUUCAAGAAGAAGAAUGACAAGAAGAAAGGUGUUUGUCAUGUGUGCGGAGAUCCUGAUCAUUGGGCACCUAACUGCCCUAAUCGUUAUGACAAGCGUCAACAUGGGAAAGGCGGCAAGUGUGCUAAUGUCGUUAUUGCUGACACUGACGUGGAGGAUGUUGGGUAUGGUAUAUUACCCACUAUUCUUUCAGUAUGUCAGUUUCCUGAUUGGUUAAUUGACACGGGUGCUAAUGUGCAUAUAUGCGGUGAUAUUUCCAUGUUUUCAUCUUAUCAGUCCGCAGGGACUUCCACCGUCCUGAUGGGCAACGGUUCACGUGCUUCUGUUCGUGGUGUUGGCACGGUCGAUCUGAAGUUUACUUCGGGAAAAGUCGUGCGGGUGAAGAACGUGCAUUAUGUCCCCUCCGUCAAUAAAAAUCUUGUUAGCGGAUCUCUUUUGUGUAGAGAUGGCUACAAGCUUGUCUUUGAGUCUAAUAAAUUUGUAAUAUCCAAGUAUGGAACUUUUGUUGGUAAGGGCUACGAGUCAGGAGGCCUGUUUCGUUUAUCCUUGGCAGACGUUUGCAAUAAAGUUGUUAAUCAUGUUUACAACAAUAGUGAAUCAAAUGUGUGGCAUUCACGUCUUUGUCAUGUUAACUUUGGUUGCAUGCCGCGACUAGUCAAAUUGAACUUAAUCCUUAGCUUUAACACCGUCAAGGGAUCUAAGUGUCAAGUUUGUGUGCAAGCCAAACAACCUCGUAAGUCUCACACGACUGCCGAAACGAGGAAUCUUGCACCACUAAAACUCAUACAUUCAGAUCUAUGUGAAAUGAAUGGUAUUUUGACAAAAGGUGGAAAGAAAUAUUUCAUGACACUAAUUGAUGACUCCACUAGAUAUUGCCGAGUGUAUCUUUUGAAAUCUAAGGAUGAGGCUUUGAACUUUUUCAAGAUCUGUAAAGCUGAAGUAGAAAACCAACUUGAUCGAAAGAUCAAGAGGCUUAGGUCCGAUCGUGGUGGAGAGUAUUUCUCAAAUGAAUUUGAUUCCUUUCGUGCGGAACAUGGUAUAGUCCAUGAGAGGACGCCUCCCUAUUCACCUCAAUCAAAUGGGAUAGCCGAAAGAAAGAACUUUACUCUAACUGAUUUGGUUAACGCCAUGUUAGACACAUCGGGUCUCUCCAAGGCAUGGUGGGGGAGGCGAUAUUGACUGCAUGUCAUGUCCUAAAUCGAGUUCCCACAAAGAACAAAGCGAUAACUCCAUUCGAGGAAUGGGAAAAGAAAAGGUUAAAACUCUCUUAUCUAUGAACCUGGGGUUGUUUGGCAAAAGUCAAUGUGCCAAUCCCAAAGAAGCGCAAGCUAGGACCAAAAACUGUGGAUUGUGUUUUUCUGGGAUAUGCUUUUCAUAGCAUUGGAUAUAGAUUCUUGGUUGUAAAAUCUGAGGUAUCUCACAUGCAUGUCGGUACAAUCAUGGAGUCCAAUGAUGCGACUUUCUUCGAAGAUAUCUUUCCCAUGAAGGAUAUAUCUACCUCAUCUAAUCAGAAGAUGCCUAAUUCAUCAAACCAUGAAUUAGUUACAUCUACUGAACCUAUCAUUUCGAUGGAACACUUUGAAAAUAUUGUGGAGGAGAACAAUGAAGUUCCUACCAGGAGCAAGAGACAGAGGACUGCAAAGUCCUUUGGUGAUGAUUUUCUUGUAUAUCUCAUAGAUGACACUCCCAGUUCUAUUUUAGAGGCCUAUGCGUCUGAAGAUGCUGACUACUGGAAGGAGGCAGUCCGUAGUGAGAUGGAUUCCAUCUUGGCAAAUGAAACUUGGGAGAUCACUGAUCGUCCUUAUGGGUGCAAACCUAUAGGAUGCAAAUGGGUAUUCAAGAAGAAGCUUAGGCCUGAUGGUACUAUCGAAAAGUACAAGGCACGGAUCGUGGCGAAGGGUUAUACCCAGAAGGAAGGUGAAGACUUCUUUGAUACUUACUCACCCGUGGCUCAACUGACCACUAUUCGAGUACUACUUUCACUAGCCGCCUCACAUGGUCUUCUCGUUCAUCAAAUGGAUGUUAAGACUGCUUUCCUAAAUGGAGAGUUGGAUGAGGAAAUUUACAUGGAACAACCAGAUGGGUUUGUAGUACAUGGUCAGGAAGGGAAAGUAUGCAAGUUGCUGAAAUCUCUAUAUGGACUUAAGCAAGCACCAAAGCAGUGGCAUGAGAAAUUUGAAAGAACUCUAACUACUGCAGGCUUUGUAGUAAACGAAGCUAAUAAAUGUGUGUACUAUCGCCAUGGUGGGGGCGAGGGAGUUAUCCUUUGCUUGUAUGUUGAUGACAUACUGAUUUUGGAACAAAUCUGAAUGUUAUUAAAGAGGUCAAGGAUUUCCUAUCUCGAUGUUUUGAGAUGAAGGAUUUAGGAGUGGCUGAUGUCAUUCUGAACAUCAAGUUGUUGAGAGACGAAGAUGGUGGGAUUACAUUGCGUCAAUCUCAUUAUGUGGAAAAGAUCUUGAGUCGCUUUGGGUAUAGUGACUGCAAGUCCUCUCCCACACCAUAUGAUGCGAGCGUGCUGCUUAGAAAGAAUCGAAGACUUGCUAGAGAUCAAUUGAAAUAUUCUCAGAUUAUUGGCUCGCUUAUGUACUUAGCUAGUGCUACAAGACCUGACAUCUCUUUUGCUGUUAGCAAACUGAGUCGGUUUGUCUCAAAACCAGGAGAUGUGCAUUGGAAAGCUCUAGAGAGAGUUUUGCGUUAUUUGAAAGGCACUGCAAAUUAUGGAAUUCACUAUACUGGAAACCCAAAGGUGCUUGAAGGGUAUAGUGAUUCAAAUUGGAUCUCUGAUGCUGAUGAGAUAAAAGCCACUAGCGGAUAUGUAUUCACUCUUGGAGGUGGCGCUGUUUCUUGGAAGUCUUGCAAGCAAACGAUCUUAAUAAGGUCAACAAUGGAAGCAGAACUCACAACACUGGAUACAGCUUCGGUCGAAGCAGAUUGGCUUCGUCGGCUCUUGAGUGACUUGCCGGUUGUUGAGAAACCAGUACCUGGAAUCCUUAUGAACUGCGACAAUCAAACUGUGAUCACGAAAGUGAGAAGCUCUAAGGAUAACAUGAAGUCAUCAAGACACAUACAGAGAAGGUUAAAAUCUGUCAGGAAAAUGAGAAACUCCGGAGUUAUUGCAUUGGACUAUAUCCAAACAUCUAAAAAUCUGGCAGAUCCUUUUACUAAGGGUCUAUCACGUAAUGUGAUAGAUAAUGCAUCGAGGGAGAUGGGUAUGAGACCCACAAUUUGAGUUGUUCACAGUGGUAACCUAUUCUUUGUGAUCGGAGAUCCCGUGAAUUAGAUGUGGAAGACAAGUUGUUGGUCAACUGAGAGGAAAGUAUCCUUAUCAUUAAUGAUACCACUCCAUGAAGAUGCAAUACUUUCCUGAACUGCAUGGCAGGUUGAUAUACAUCUUAAUAUGUUCUAAGUUGUUUACUGAAGCAGAGAUGUUGUCCUGCAGAACAUCUUUUGAAGAACAUACCUAUAUGAGUCAGAUUGUUAAACGUCACAAUCUAUGAGAGUAGGGUGCUCUCUAGUAUACUCACGAAAGGUCUCGGAGUAUGACGCAUAAGCUCCAUUCGCGGGGAAGUCCCACGACAGCCUAGUAUCGGUCAAGGAUCUGUGUGAAGCUAGAUUCGCAGAAAACUUGCAGUUCAAGGCCUAGUCCACUGUUCAAGUUGCUUACUAGUGUAGCAUAGAUUUCUAGGUGGAACUUCAACUUAACAGUCUCCACUGUAGUAUCGGUAUAUAAAACAGUGUUUUGGAACCAAAAGCAAAUUUUGUGUGCCUCUGGGAUCUGGUGGGGGAUUGCUGGAAUUUUGUGUAUAUAUGAGCCAGCCCAAUAUGUAAUUUCAGAAAUUCCUAAUAAAUCCUAGAGGCCCACGCAGCCCAUUUGUGCAAGGCAAGAGGUGGAAAUGUUUAGUCCCAUAUCGCUAGUUUAGUGGGAGUUGGACCUCCUUAUAAGGGAGGAUGUUUUCACACAUGUAUGAGCUUGAGAACAAGAGAGACAUACACGCGCGCUCCUCCUCCUCCGCCGCCCGCCUUGUCACGACGCGCCGCGGGUUGCGGGAAUGAGCCGAACUAAAUUUUUGCCACGCACGACUGGUAUAUGAGCGGGAAAAGCUACAUCCCGUCGCUGGCCUCUCGUCUCCUUCUCCUGCGCCUAUAAAAGAGAGGUCGCUCCUCUCCAGAGAUACGAUGCAUCAGAAGUUCCCACUCGCCACCGGUUCUUCUCUCUGUGCUGCUGCUACGUUCUUCCUCAUCCCGUCCUGCGGCGUGCACCGUUCGUCGGGACAGUAGGCCUCCGAAACUCCGUCUCUUCGAGUCCUGUACGGGAGAAGGGCGAUAAGGUUUUUGGGGAGCGCUCAGCGCGACUGCUGGCUUCCAUCACGGACUCCGACGAUCUCUUCCCGAACGACGACUUCUUCCCCGACGUCGACCACCUCUUCGGUACUAUGGCCAACGAC
rnacentral:lncRNA from 1 species